rnacentral:lncRNA from 1 species
CAAUUUCUGGCUCAGGUCCUGCUCCUCGGAGCUUUUGCCUCCUCUGCACAGAGGAGGGCUAGACUCGGCCAUGGCCCAAGCCCCACCCAACCCCACGCCCACCAAGGUCCCACACCAGGGCCCAGCCUGGCAGACCCAAAGACCUAUUUAAGACCCAGCAGAACUGACCACCAGCUGAGCUCUGGACACAGGCCUCCAGGCCCCUGGCCCUGCUGACUCCAGCCACCCACCUCAGCCUCUCCUAGGUCUUCCUCCACCCUGGCCCUGGUAGUCCACUGCCGUCACCGGAAUGUUUCCCCCAACAACCAGGCCUGCUGCCCCUGGGGGCCUCAGCCCCUUGGUGGCCCAGGGCUUCUGAGAACACUGAGGGCUGCUUGAAGGGCCAGUGCCGGCAAGCACCAGGAGCAAGGCGCACUGGUGGGCCACCGGAGGCCUCCUGCUGGGGGACCUCGCACUACACAGCUGGGCCUCUGCCGUCCCCUGGUCUUCUGCACUCCAGAGCAGUGGGGUUAGAUGGACUUCAGAAGAGUAGUUGACCCUUCACAGGCUGGGCUCAGGCCCAGAGGACAGGGUAUCUCUGCUGAAGACACCCUGACCUAUCCCUGUUGAGGAGGUUGGUGUUGGAGCCCAGAGACGGCCCCACACUGCCCCCUGGGGGCACUGAGCCAGACAGCUUGCUCAAGAGAGCACAAGAGGCCCCUCCAGGGACCGAGAACCAGCUGGCCAAGGGCAGGGGACUCUUGGCGGUAGGGAGGGCCUCUGGUGCCUCAGCCUUACCUGUGGCCUAGAGGAGGGAACCUCACCUUGUGGGGUGAGAAUAGGGACACGCAGGAUGUCCCAAAAGGUGAGCAGCCCCACCACCCAAAUGGUCCCUGGGUCAUCUCCUGGCCUCAUACCUAUCACGGCCCAAGGAUGACAGCCGGCUUCCCAGGAUUGACCAGCAGGAGGCUCAACAUCAAGAAAGCACUUGGAAAUGUCCGAGUGUAAGCACGGCCUUCUGGUCAGAGCUGACCCCUGGGCCUGGUCUGGUCUGUGCACCCUGCAGUGCCUAUCUUCUCUGCACCCAUGCUUGGGUUGGGCCAGCAGGGGGCACCAGCAUGGGUGGUGGGAACCAGGCAAGGAAUCCCGGUCACAGAUGGGAGGCUUGCUCUCCUGCUGGGACACAGGGUGGAGAGGGGCAUCUUCUACCCCCGGCUUGAUGUGGAAGCUGCUCUCCCCUCAGGGAGUCCACAGCCCCGUGGUCUCCAGAGAAGCAGACCACGAGAGCUGGAGCCCAGGGGGACCAGUCCUCCUGUCCAGUGCACCAGGCCGUGUCUGCCUGGCAGGACACAGCCAGUGCGCAGGGAAGUGGGGCGGUGCUUCUGAGCCUCUUCUCAGUCUGGGUGGAGUGUCCCUUAUGGAGGGGGGGGGGUGCCCUGCUCCCAUUUCUCAGACAACACAGGGGCCACAAGUGAAGGGGUGCCUGUACCUCUCCCCCCAGCUUUUCCCCAGGAAGAGGCCACUCAGGGACUGUGCCAAACUGCUGGACUCAGGCCCCACAUCCCUGGGAUGGGUUGCUUCCCCUCCCAUGGGUGGCCCUCCUGGGUGCCCAGUCCCUGGCGGGCAAGGCCAGUGCCAGCACAGAGCCUGCACUCUAGCCCGUCCCCACCAGGCAUGCUUCACCCUGUCUGUAGCAGAGGACACUGAGGCUGGGAGCGGCAGCCGCACACUGGGUGAGGCCAGUCUGCUCCAGCUGGCACUGACUGGGACAGAGGGGGUGGGCACAGGUCUCGGUCCUGAGCAAGAGCUCUCAGUGUCUGUGCACCGUGCACUGCCUAUCUCACUUCAUCUUCAGAUAAGGUGGAAGGGCCUCAGAAAGCAGGCAGGAGGGCACAGGAGGAGGCAAGCAGAGAUGUCCCCGGCCCAGGGCAGAGCCAAGGGCAAGGGGAGGCACAGUGGACAGGACAGGGCGGGAUGCCCAGUCUCAGGAACCAGGUCGAAUUCAGAUCUUCAACCAGAUCAGGUUCCAAAUCCCACCCCUCCCCACCAAGGCCAUCUGCCAGGACUGACCAGCCUCAGGAGUCUCACCUGCCAUCCCAUCCCAUCCGUGAUUCUAGACAGAGCAGAGGGCCGAUUUCACGGAGGCAGGCCUGGCGACCGGGUCCAGCUGGCACAUGCAGCUUGUGCCCCUUUGCGCCCAGCCCAGCCCCCAUGAGGAAUCCUGAGUGGUGUGGAAACUGGCAGUGGGUGGGAGAGAGGGUGUCCAAGCCAGGCUAAUCGGAGGAUGCCACUCGGUUCCCAUGGCAACUGCUGCGCAGCCUUUCAGGAUAGACCCAGGUUAGGCCUCAGCUGCCAGAACACCCACUAUUUCAGGGCUGGUUACCUUGGUGACCCAGGUGGUGAGGAUGUGGAGGGGGAGGGGAGAGGAGAGGUGGGGAUCAUAAAGAGAGGCUUGGGGACCCUGACACAGAGCAUGGACCUCCCUCUGCCCACACUAAAUCCAGUCCCAGCUGGUUAUGUUGAGUCUGGAUCCAAGUCAUAGGCUGUGCCCUGGUCCUGGUCACACACUGAGCCCUGGCCUGAGCUCUGGUCCUGGUCACAGAUUGAUUCCUGACUCUGGUCACACACGGAGCCUUGAUCCUCAUCAUAGACUGACCUCUGACCUGAGCAUAGGAUCCCUGGUCCAACACCACACACUGAGCCCCGAUCCCAGCCACCACUGAUCCUAACCUUGGCUAUGUCUCUCCACUAAGGAGCACUCAGGAAGUGUAGCUGCCGUUUUUGCCGUCAUCUCCUGUCUAACGUGUGUCCUCACAGAGCUGACGCUCCACAAAUGUUUGCCCUGCCAGAGUGGGCGCCAGAAAGGGAGUUACAGGGAAGGACUCCUGGGGUCCCCUGCCGAGCAGCACACACAGCACAAAGGCUGUCAGGUCCCGCGGGACGCAAGGGGGCAGCAGAGGAGCAGGCAGGGCUGGGGGUGGGCUGCCCCUCCGGUCCCGGAAAGAAGCCGCUAUUCUUCCCCCACUCAAUGCCCCUCUGUCUGGAAGCCUCAUUUCCAUCUCAUUAUGGCGAUGAAUAGAGCCAAUUAUCGGCCGCCAGGCAGGCCGGCCACCCAGGGACGAGGGUGCACAGUGAGGGGGCUCGAGUGUCCUUCCCACCGUGGGGACCAGGCCUGAAGGCAGGGGCUCCCCAGAUCCUGCGCCCGGAGUGGGCUGGGUCGGGGCUCCGCGGGAGCCCUUCCCCCAGGGCGGCCUCUCCAGUCUCCGGGAUCCCCUUUGGAGGGGAGGGACGCUGCACUCCCAGCCUCAUCCAGCAGAGGGCGCUCGAGCCCCGCAGGUUGUGCAGCCCCCGGGCUACUGCCCAUUCUUGCCCCUGCGGGGCCGGCUGGGGUCUCCUGGCACUCACUGCAAGGUGCAAGAACGGUCCUCUGUCCAGGCUUCCUAGAGGGGCGCCCAGGCGCUGACCCCGGCCAUAGGACCCCUCUGAAUAAGCACAGGACCACAAGGACAGGAGGCUCCCUGAUGCCCCUCCCCCACUUAGCCCCACUCCUGGGCCCUGCAUCCAGCCGGCCUGAAACAGCCCACCUUCUGCUGGGCUGGCAGCUCCUCCUCCUGUGGAGCACCUGCUCAGUGAAGGCUCACACAGGUCCCACAAGCAAGUCCUCCCCAUUCCCAGCCCACAGAGGGGAACAGGCUCCCUGGCAGGUGCUCCCAGGUGCUCCUGGUCCUGAGAACAGUGCCCUGAUCACUAGUCUGAAAACUCAGUCCAUCCUGGACAGUCUUGCUGCUCGUCCUGCUCGUCCCCAGGCUCUGGCUGUCCCGCAGCCAACCUGACAUCCCUUCUCCUGCCUUUCUGGGAAGUGGCACUAAAUUAGGCCAUGAUCCUCAGCCUGCCUCCAGCCUCGCGGUCAGGGCUGGCAGCUCCCUGUGGACUCUCUGCAUGGGCCCACCCUGCUCUUUCCACCUGAUGGGCACUGAAGGGGUGCCUGUACCUCUCCCUCCUUCUUUUCUAGACUUUUCUAAAUCGACAGGCCAAGAUGAGGAGCCCACUAUCCCUGAGAGUGAAGACCCUGGUGCUUUCCCCAGCCCCACCAUCUUCCAGCACCCACCAAACUCCACCUCAACCCCAACUGCACCCCAGUCCUCCUCCCACAGGUCAGGCCAGCUCCCGCCCGCCCUCAUGCUGCCCCUCUGGCCUGCAGACCUCAGCGGAGCUUCUGGGAGUGCGACUGUAUGGGGGUCACUAGCCAGGCGGGACACUGAUGACUGGCCCUGGGCAGGGCCAGAGGGAGGGUCAGCGCCAGCCCUGCAGGCCAUCGGGUCCCUCACAUGCCUAGCAGAGCACGCAUGCGCGUGUGUAUCCACGUGUCCACACCCCCGGACACCCAGGUCAGCUGAGCCUCCCACCCCUGCCCUGGCCUCUGUAUACACACACACAGGGACACACACACGGGGACGCCCAUACGCACGGGGACACACACACUCGCUCCCACCCCCAGGAGGCUGCUUCUUCAUUAUCUUACAUGUCGCUUCUGCAAUAAAAUUCUUUAAUUAAAAACAU